GACGAACGCUGGCGGCGUGCUUAACACAUGCAAGUCGAACGCUGAAGCUUGGUGCUUGCACUGGGUGGAUGAGUGGCGAACGGGUGAGUAAUACGUGAGUAACCUGCCCUUGACUCUGGGAUAAGCCUGGGAAACUGGGUCUAAUACUGGAUAUGACAUGCCACUGCAUGGUGGUGUGUGGAAAGGGUUUUACUGGUUUUGGAUGGGCUCACGGCCUAUCGGCUUGUUGGUGGGGUAAUGGCCUACCAAGGCGACGACGGGUAGCCGGCCUGAGAGGGUGACCGGCCACACUGGGACUGAGGCACGGCCCAGACUCCUACGAGAGGCAGCAGUGGGGAAUAUUGCACAAUGGGCGGAAGCCUGAUGCAGCGACGCCGCGUGAGGGAUGACGGCCUUCGGGUUGUAAACCUCUUUCAGCACGGAAGAAGCGAGAGUGACGGUACGUGCAGAAGAAGCGCCGGCUAACUACGUG
rnacentral:rRNA from 1 species